CACGUAGGGGGCAAGCGUUGUCCGGAAUCAUUGGGCGUAAAGCGCACGUAGGCGGCUUUCUAAGUCAGGGGUGAAAUCCUGGAGCUCAACUCCAGAACUGCCUUUGAUACUGGAGAGCUUGAGUCCGGGAGAGGUGAGUGGAACUCCGAGUGUAGAGGUGAAAUUCGUAGAUAUUCGCAAGAACACCAGUGGCGAAGGCGGCUCACUGGCCCGGUACUGACGCUGAGGUGCGAAAGCGUGGGGAGCAAACAGG
rnacentral:rRNA from 1 species